rnacentral:rRNA from 1 species
UACAGAGGGGGCAAGCGUUGUUCGGAAUUACUGGGCGUAAAGGGCGCGUAGGCGGCCUGCUAAGUCAAACGUGAAAUCCCCGAGCUCAACUCGGGAACUGCGUCCGAUACUGACAGGCUUGAAUCCGGGAGAGGGAUGCGGAAUUCCAGGUGUAGCGGUGAAAUGCGUAGAUAUCUGGAGGAACACCGGUGGCGAAGGCGGGUCUCUGGGCAAUAACUGACGCUGAGGAGCGAAAAGCGUGGGGAGCGAACAGG